rnacentral:misc_RNA from 1 species
CAGUCGUAACAAGGUCUCCGUUGGUGAACCAGCGGAGGGAUCAUUACAGAGUUGAAAACUCCCAAACCACUGUGAACUUACCUUCGUCGUUGCUUCGGCGGGCGGCUCCCAGGGGGGAGCCGUAGCCCCGGGAAGGGGCGCCCGCCGGAGGACCAACCAAACCAUGUUGUUUUAGAGAUAUCUGAGCCGGUACGGAAUAAGUCAAAA